UUGAGCCUAACGGCCCCACCCGGUCCCCCCGCCCAGGGGCCUCCCACACGCCCAUAUAUGGACGCAAUCAGGACCCCUACAGCCUGGGGGGGGGGGUCUGUGAGGUCCAGGCCUCUGCGACCUCACAAUGCCCUGGGCCGCCCCCGUGUCUAUAAGAGGCCCAGGCGUCGGCCCCGGGCUCACAGCCCACGAAGUUCCACCUGCCCACAGGUUGGCUGGCUCAACCAAGGAGGUCCCUCUGCUCUGAGCAUCCGGGCCAGUUCCAUCCAGCACCAUGGCCAGAUACAUAUGCUGCCGUAGCCACAGCCGGAGCAGAUGCCGCCGCCGGAGACGCAGAUGCCGCAGACGGAGGAGGCGGUGCUGUCGGAGGCGGAGAAGGAGAGUGUGCUGCCGUCGCUACACCGUGUUGAGAUGUCAGAGAAGAUGAACGCACAGAAGAAACCGGUCCACCGCACCCCUGCCUGCCGUGCCACCAGCCGCCAAGACCCUCCUGCCGCCUCAUGAACAUGCCACCGGCCCAAUGACAUGAACAGGAGCCUGCUAACGAACAAUGCCACCUGUCAAUAAACGAUGAAAAAUC